UGCGGAUUAGCCAAGUUGGUAAGGCAACGGUUUUUGGUACCGUGAUGCACUGGUUCGAGUCCAGUACCCGCAA
rnacentral:tRNA from 2 species